rnacentral:rRNA from 16 species
UUAGUUAAAGUUGGUGUUUUUGUCGCUGUUCCCGUCCCAUCUGGCAAGUUAAGCAACGUCGAGUCCGGUUAGUACUUGGAUCGGAGUUUAAGGUGCUGCCAACCUU